AAAAAGGUAAGCUAAGCCUGUAAGCUAAUGGGUUCAUACCCCAUUUAUGGAAUAAUCCCCUUUUUA
rnacentral:tRNA from 1 species